rnacentral:lncRNA from 1 species
CAAAGAUCCUGUGCCAAGGCAGGGAGGGGGGGUGGUUUGUGGCAAAGCCUCAGGGUAUCCAGAAAUCUUCAGCUCUGUGAACAAUAUAUUCCCUCCUUUGGCAGGCUAUUCGCAUUCAGACCUCCAGCGACUGUUGAAGAGGAAGGGUGGGCUUCUGGCUGAGUCAUUACCCAGAGCUGUGAGACCUGAUUCAGCUGAAAUGAGAGCAGGUUUAACAGUCUGGAAGAGAUGCCCUCUGACCAUCUGCUCUGGUGGAUCAUCUGUCCACCCAUACAUCCAAGCUUCAGAUGUCAGUCCCCACCUUUAAGGAAAAUUUCCUCAGUCUGGUUCAGAGCCUGGUCACACAGUUUUGCUGGCAGAAGUGAGUGGAAAGAGCACUUUGGCAUGGAGGGGAAAUGAGCAACAGAGGGUGAAAGGUGAGCAGCAAUUACAGAUUCUGGUAAUGCGACUGUGUACUUUAUAAUAU